GUUGGAGCAAACCAAGAUGAAGCUAUUGCUGUAAAUAUUUAUGCAGCUAAUGUUGCAAAUCUUUUUUCUGGUGAGGGAGCUCAAACNGCUCAGGCUGCACCGGUUCAAGAGGGUGUUCAACAGGAAGGAGCUCAACAGCCAGCACCUGUCCGCACCUUCAAGCGGAGUUAAUUCUCCUGUUAAUGUUACAACUACAGUUGAUGCUAAUACAUCACUUGCUAAAAUUGAAAAUGCUAUUAGAAUGAUAAGUGAUCAAAGGGCAAAUUUAGGUGCUUUCCAAAAUAGACUUGAAUCUAUAAAGAAUAGUACUGAGUAUGCAAUUAAUCACCUUUCACUUNAUUACAUUUUGAGAAGCAGAUUUGUUUGAUAACAUGUGCAUUUGGUUAUAUUGAGCUUGAUCAGCAAUUCUAUUAAUUUCGUCUGUAAGUUGCUCUAUUUCAAUUUGUAUAGAACCUCUGUCUAGUAAAAUGUGACGAACCUGAUUGAACUGCCAAUUCCUUCAUUCUUACUAAGACUUUUUCUACUUAUAAGGGGGCCCCGGUAUCCAACGGCCGAGGAUCAAAUUGAUCGG
rnacentral:misc_RNA from 1 species